CCUACGGGAGGCAGCAGUGGGGAAUAUUGGACAAUGGGCGAAAGCCUGAUCCAGCAAUGCCGCGUGAGUGAUGAAGGCCUUAGGGUUGUAAAGCUCUUUUACCCGAGAUGAUAAUGACAGUAUCGGGAGAAUAAGCUCCGGCUAACUCCGUGCCAGCAGCCGCGGUAAUACGGAGGGAGCUAGCGUUGUUCGGAAUUACUGGGCGUAAAGCGCACGUAGGCGGCUUUUUAAGUCAGGGGUGAAAUCCCGGGGCUCAACCCCGGAACUGCCCUUCGAAACUAGGGAAGCUAGAAUCUUGGAGAGGCGAGUGGAAUUCCGAGUGUAGAGGUGAAAUUACGUAGAUAUUCGGAAGAACACCAGUGGCGAAGGCGACUCGCUGGACAAGUAUUGACGCUGAGGUGCGAAAAGCGUGGGGAGCAAACAGGAUUAGAUACCCCUGGUAGUCCACGCCGUAAACGAUGAUAACUAGCUGUCCGGGUUCAUGGAACUUGGGUGGCGCAGCUAACGCAUUAAAGUUAUCCGCCUGGGGAGUACGGUCGCAAGAUUAAAACUCAAGGAAAUUGACGGCUGNGAGUUGCGACGACGACACAGGAGGAGG
rnacentral:rRNA from 1 species